rnacentral:rRNA from 1 species
UACAGAGGCCUCGAGCGUUAGGCGGAAUCACUGGGCUUAAAGCGUGUGUAGGCGGACUUCUAAGUACCUUGUGAAAUCCCACAGCUUAACUGUGGAACUGCUUGGUAUACUGGUUGUCUUUGAGUCAUCUAGGGGGCGAGCGGAACAAGUGGUGGAACGGGUGAAAUGCGUAGAUAUCACUUGGAACGCCAACGGGUGAAAACAGC